AAACAGCAUCCAAGGAAGUCUCAAGGUGAGGCUGCAAUGCAGCCUUCUCAACAGUAUUCUAUAGAGAAGUGGGAUGCUAACUGAUUUCCAGAGGUGGCCUUGUUCCAGGGCUCUCUGAAAAUGCUACCUGGUGAUGAACUUGACUUUGUUCUUCUGAACUGAGGGCACUGGCCCAGUGGGCCAUCUCACCAUGGCUCUACUCACCUGGUGGCCAGCAGAGUCCACCGAGAGCUGACUUCUGGGAGUCGUUGCUGGAAGAGAGUCUGGCAGGAAAGAAUUGUCAAGUAUCUCAGCUGACUCCCCAGAGGAGAUGAAUAUCCACCCAAGGGACAGCCAAGCAUAACAUCAGUCCUCUCUGGGCCAGCAAGAUGACUCAGCAAUAAAAGCACUUGCUGCCAAGUGUGACCCAACUGAGUUCAAUUCCCAGAACCUACGGAGUUGAACCAGAUAACCAACUCGUGCAAACUGCUCUGACCCCUACAUGGACAGCAUGGCAUAGCUGGUGGUGCUGUUUGGGAAGGCUAUGAAGCCUUCAGAAGGUGGAGGCUUGUUGGAGGAAGAGGAUCACUGGUGAUGUGCCUUGAUGUUUUAAAGUCUGGCCAAUUUCCUGUUUGCUCUUUAACUGCCUAGGCAAUGUGUCCAAAAGACUCAAGCUCCUGGAGCCAUGUUUUUCUACCAUGAUGAACUUCAUCCCUUCAAACUGUGAGCCAAGAUAAAUUCUUCCUUCUUUGGGUUGUUUCUUCUUGGGUAUUUGGUCACAGCAAUGAGAAGGGAUCGCCACUGCUGGUUGAGCUCCACUGUUUCAAGGGUUCUCCACCUGCACGAGAAAGCUGCACAUCUGCACCUCCUUGGUCGUGGAGUCCAAGGUGGUUCCCAGCUGCCCAUGAAGUCCUCUUCAGAGGACUGACAAGCUGGAGAUGGAAACUACAUUUGGAGUCCUGCUCUGGGAGGGAAAACGGAAAAACAAGACACUGCCCCCAGAUGCAUCCAGGCGGGAGCUCAUUUCCAUCCCAAAUUGGCUCCAGAGGGCGAAAGCUUCUGGGAGAUACCAGGUUCCUUCUGCAGGAUGAGAAAAUCAGUUCAACAAUCCUCUACCCACACCUCAUCCCUGAACUUUGGAUUUCAUCUUCAGCAUCAUCAAGAGGCAACCAACAAAUCUUUGUUUGUAUACCACAAGUGAUGGCAAGCUCAUUACACUGCAAAUUUCUCAUUCAGCUUCUGAGCACCAGGAUACCAUCAUUUUGCUCCAUCGUUGGAGCUGAUGUUGGUUCCCCUACGGGCUACCCUCAUGAGGAUGGAGCUUGGCUCACCAAUUCAGUCGGGCAGAGGUUUACAAACCAAGUUCAUUUAAGAGAUUCUUUUUGUUUCCAGUAACUGUUUUGCUAACUCUUCAGCUUCUGAGGCUAGUGAUUGGAAAGGUUCAUGCGGGUCUGUUUUUAAAGGUAUAACUUGGCUCAUAUAAAGCUAAAGUCUGGCCUGAUUCAGUACUGCCCUAAGAAAAGCCAUUUGCUCAAAGGUGUUUACAGAGGAGGGAGACAGUGGGUUUCAGCUGCUUGGUUCUAUUCUGGGGCAUUGGGAUCCAGCAAUCAUCAAGAAUGAUCUGGUCUGACUGUGACUCACUGGGCCUGAAUGAAUUACCCCAUUCCCCUUUGAUAUCAGUUCCUUCCAGGACUUUCGUAAAGAAUUCAAGAGCAAGUGGAGCCUCCAUCUUAGCCCUUUACCCCAUUUUACAGAUAAGGAAGACAGAGAGUGAGUCCCAGAAAGAGGAAUUGAAUUACCUUGGGGAAACUACUAAAGCCUAAAUCUUGUGGCUUUCACUUUCAGUGUGCUAGUACUUCACAACCAUGAUUUCUCUUAUUCCCUGGAUUUUAGAGCCUCUUUUUCUUCCCCCUGCCUCAGUUUUCCCACACUGAUCCAGACUUCAGAGGUCACCAACCUCCAGCCUUGAGCUCCCCUCAAACCUGGAGCUCAGCACAUACUUAUGUCAUGAACUUUUCCCCACAGAGACAAGAUUAAAGGGAGAUGUUAAUAUUCAAGCAACCUUGCUAAACAAGC
rnacentral:lncRNA from 1 species